CUUUGGGAUAACCCUCGGAAACGGGGGCUAAUACCGGAUAUGACCUUUCACUGCAUGGUGGGGGGUGGAAAGUUUUUCGGCUUGGGAUGGGCUCGCGGCCUAUCAGCUUGUUGGUGGGGUGAUGGCCUACCAAGGCGACGACGGGUAGCCGGCCUGAGAGGGCGACCGGCCACACUGGGACUGAGACGCGGCCCAGACUCCUACGGGAGGCAGCAGUGGGGAAUAUUGCACAAUGGGCGGAAGCCUGAUGCAGCGACGCCGCGUGGGGGAUGACGGCCUUCGGGUUGUAAACCUCUUUCAGUAGGGACGAAGCGUGAGUGACGGUACCUACAGAAGAAGCGCCGGCCAACUACGUGCCAGCAGCCGCGGUAAGACGUAGGGCGCAAGCGUUGUCCGGAUUUAUUGGGCGUAAAGAGCUCGUAGGCGGUUUGUCGCGUCGACUGUGAAAUUCCAUGGCUUAACUGUGGGCGUGCAGUCGAUACGGGCAGGCUAGAGUUCGGUAGGGGAGACUGGAAUUCCUGGUGUAGCGGUGAAAUGCGCAGAUAUCAGGAGGAACACCGGUGGCGAAGGCGGGUCUCUGGGCCGAUACUGACGCUGAGGAGCGAAAGCGUGGGGAGCGAACAGGAUUAGAUACCCUGGUAGUCCACGCUGUAAACGUUGGGCGC
rnacentral:rRNA from 1 species